CCUACGGGAGGCAGCAGUGGGGAAUUUUGGACAAUGGGCGAAAGCCUGAUCCAGCAAUGCCGCGUGAGUGAAGAAGGCCUUCGGGUUGUAAAGCUCUUUUGUCAGGGAAGAAACGGUGAGAGCUAAUAUCUUUUGCUAAUGACGGUACCUGAAGAAUAAGCACCGGCUAACUACGUGCCAGCAGCCGCGGUAAUACGUAGGGUGCAAGCGUUAAUCGGAAUUACUGGGCGUAAAGCGUGCGCAGGCGGUUUUGUAAGUCUGUCGUGAAAUCCCCGGGCUCAACCUGGGAAUUGCGAUGGAGACUGCAAGGCUAGAAUCUGGCAGAGGGGGGUAGAAUUCCACGUGUAGCAGUGAAAUGCGUAGAGAUGUGGAGGAACACCGAUGGCGAAGGCAGCCCCCUGGGUCAAGAUUGACGCUCAUGCACGAAAGCGUGGGGAGCAAACAGGAUUAGAUACCCUGGUAGUCCACGCCCUAAACGAUGUCUACUAGUUGUCGGGUUUUAAUUAACUUGGUAACGCANCUACGCGNGAGUAGACGCCGNGGGNGGUACGGUCGUCGAGAGUUAAACUUACGUAAGAAGUUAGAGGNGNGNGAGNGCGAGGCGACGACGAGGGAGGAGG
rnacentral:rRNA from 1 species